AGAGCAGGAACUUGGUAGAUAUUGGCUGAGAUGAUUCAGACCCCAUGGGAAAAUGACUUGACCCAGGACGCUGUACCAGAGGGUCUCCCACUGUGCAGAGAACGGGGGACUUGAAGAUGGACAUCGAAUCACUGAUCAUCUAGAGAAGAGGACGCCCUGACUCCUGGUCGUCUGGCUGCCACCGUCAUCGAGCACUUACUUGGAACUCUGCGGGGCCUUCAGAGCCUCACGGACACUGCUCCCAGCUUCACAAUCACGUCACAAAGCAGCUGGUUUCACCCGGGUUUAAAGGCAAGAAAACUGUAACUGGAAAGGUUGGAGAUGGGCCCAAAACAACAGCCAGCAGCGGCCAAGCAGA
rnacentral:lncRNA from 9 species